rnacentral:tRNA from 2 species
GGGCCCUUAGCUCAAUGGUAGAGCACCACAUUUGCAAUGUGGGGGUUACCAGUUCAAGUCUGGUAGGGUCCA